AGAGUUUGAUCAUGGCUCAGGAUGAACGCUAGCUACAGGCUUAACACAUGCAAGUCGAGGGGCAUCAGUUUGGUUUGCUUGCAAACCAAAGCUGGCGACCGGCGCACGGGUGAGUAACACGUAUCCAACCUGCCUCAUACUCGGGGAUAGCCUUUCGAAAGAAAGAUUAAUAUCCGAUAGCAUAUAUUUCCCGCAUGGGUUUUAUAUUAAAGAAUUCGGUAUGGGAUGGGGAUGCGUUCCAUUAGUUUGUUGGCGGGGUAACGGCCCACCAAGACUACGAUGGAUAGGGGGUUCUGGAGAGGAAGGUCCCCCACAUUGGAACUGAGACACGGUCCAAACUCCUACGGGAGGCA
rnacentral:rRNA from 1 species